rnacentral:rRNA from 1 species
GAGUUUGAUCAUGGCUCAGAUUGAACGCUGGCGGCAUGCUUUACACAUGCAAGUCGAACGGCAGCACAAGGAGCUUGCUCCUGGGUGGCGAGUGGCGAACGGGUGAGUAAUGUAUCGGAACGUGCCUGGUAGUGGGGGAUAACCACUCGAAAGAGUGGCUAAUACCGCAUGAGAUCUCUGGAUGAAAGCGGGGGACCUUUGGGCCUCGCGCUACUGGAGCGGCCGAUAUCAGAUUAGGUUGUUGGUGGGGUAAAGGCCUACCAAGCCUGCGAUCUGUAGCUGGUCUGAGAGGACGACCAGCCACACUGGGACUGAGACACGGCCCAGACUCCUACGGGAGGCAGCAGUGGGGAAUUUUGGACAAUGGGCGCAAGCCUGAUCCAGCAAUGCCGCGUGCAGGACGAAGGCCCUCGGGUUGUAAACUGCUUUUGUACAGAACGAAAAGUCUCUGGCUAAUACCUGGGGAU